GGAUUAUAAACUACUAUCCUACAAAUUGAACAGCAUAAAAAACCCAAAUUUGACACAAACAAUGUUAAAAACUAUUACAGAUGCUGUAAAAAAAAUAUGGUAAUUUUUUAAGAAGUAAAGGUCUUUAAAUAUUUAAAAUUAAAAAAAAAAAGAGUAUCAGAAUGAAUUGAUAAAAUGCAUUGUAUGAUUGCUUACCCACUUUUCUUUGGAACCUCGAGCUGUGUUCAUGAUUGCUUCCAUUUUGAUUCAAAUUAAAAUACAGCCAAUCUUUUCAAAAAUAUGAGUCAAUUUACUUGGUUAUUUAAGUUGUUGAAACAAUGUAAGCUACCAAUAUCAAUUUAUUAUACUCUUGAAUGUUUUGUUUCUUUUUCAUACAUUUUGCUUCUGGUAUAAUGCCUUUAUGAAUAAACAAUCAAAUGUCAACACAG
rnacentral:misc_RNA from 1 species